UUUAUGAAAUUUUUGAUUGAUGAUAAAUUUAUGAGAUUUAAGAUGCAAAAAGAAUUACAAAAUUUUAAUAAAUUAACGAGGUAAAAUUAACAUCCAAAUGUCAUCGCAAAUGCCCAUUGCAUAUAACACAACGUCAGUACUUCAAUGGCUACUUCGUCUCUAGCGACUUCCUUAUCUCGCCUUGCUCUCUUUCGGUUCCCCAUUAAUAAACUAUCUUCAAUCCCACCGUCUCUUCACCGUCUCAGCUCAAAGAACCCAAAUCGAUUAAGACUGAUUUCAAUGGCAUCGGAGCCGAAGGAAUCGCCAGCCAACAAUCCUGGUCUCCAAACUACCCUCGAUGAAGCCACCAAGGGAUACUUCAUGCAACAAACUAUGUAUCGAAUUAAGGAUCCGAAGAUAAGUCUCGAUUUCUAUUCUCGCGUAUUGGGCAUGAUGUUGCUUAAGAGGUUAGAUUUUCCAGACAUGAAGUUUAGCUUGUACUUUAUGGGCUAUGAGAAUCCAGCAUCAGCUCCGAGUGAUCCAGUUGAAAGAACAGUUUGGACCUUUGGUCAGAAGGCUACAAUAGAAUUAACUCAUAAUUGGGGUACUGAAAGUGAUCCUGACUUCAAAGGAUAUCACAAUGGAAAUUCAGAUCCUCGGGGCUUUGGACAUAUUGGUAUUACUGUGGAUGAUGUGUACAAGGCAUGUGAGAGAUUUGAACGUCUAGGGGUGGAGUUUGCAAAAAAACCUGAUGAUGGGAAAAUGAAAGGGAUAGCUUUCAUUAAGGAUCCCGAUGGUUACUGGAUUGAAAUCUUUGACCUCAAGACUAUUGGGAAAACAACUAGCAAUGCUGCUUGAGAUAAUGGACACAAACUUAAGGGAGCUAAAACCAUAUAUGUAUCUUAAUUCUGUCUGGUUCCUUGCAUACAUGCAUCAAUGGGGGUACCUGGUCUUCUACUUCGUCAUCUGAUAAGAGAAGUGGGGCAUUUCAAGACUUGUUUUCUUCAGUUCUAUUACAAAAUAUUGAUUGAAGUCAUUGUCCUGUUGUGUGCAUUUUGUAGAUGACCUAUUUUCAGUAACAAAAUGAUAAUACCUUGGCAGGUGUGGUUGUGGUAGAUGACCUAUUUUCUUUCUUUCUUUUUUUUUUUAAUGAAAUAAAAGUCCUCAUGGGCUGUUCCUGA